rnacentral:rRNA from 1 species
UACGAAGGGGGCUAGCGUUGCUCGGAAUCACUGGGCGUAAAGCGCACGUAGGCGGCUUUCUAAGUCAGGGGUGAAAUCCUGGAGCUCAACUCCAGAACUGCCUUUGAUACUGGAGAGCUCGAGUCCGGAAGAGGUGAGUGGAACUCCGAGUGUAGAGGUGAAAUUCGUAGAUAUUCGGAAGAACACCAGUGGCGAAGGGCGGCUCACUGGUCCGGUACUGACGCUGAGGUGCGAAAGCGUGGGGAGCAAACAGGG